GUGGGAGAUAUUACUCCAGUAAGCCAGCAUUAUUAUUGAAUUCAAGUGUAAAUACAGCUGCAGAAUGUGUAAUAACAAAGUGGAGUAUUCCUUUGUGAUUGAAGGUUUCUUCAGAAUCACCAGUUACACCGAGGUGCAGGAGCCCAGCCAUCUACCAGCACCAGCAACACAUCCUUGGUCUCCACCACAGUCCUCAUAGGCCAAGCAGUAGUCCACCCAGGAUUCACAGUGACACAGCCUAACCAGCCUCAGCAAAUAGCUAUGCAACUCCAGAACCCACAGCAACAAUACCUGCAGCAAAUUCAGUCGUGCAGCACUCUGCACAACGAACAACCAGAUGCUUUGCUCCUGCCUUCAUCUUAUCAGCAACAACAGCAAGGUACUCUGGGAUACCACGCACAGCAGCACAGACAAGCGACACCAAGACGACAGCCUAACCAAGUCUUCUACCAAGACAACCUUACUGAACGUCAAGGCCAGGGCCACAUGUAAAACCAUACUGUGGAAACAUCAAUUCACUUUACAAACUUGCAGUGCCACCAAGUGGGCAGUCUAAUCACCAGGUCACUGUUGAUGUACACAGGGGUCUCCAACCCCGGUCCAGGAGAGCGACUGGGUCUGCUGGUUUUCAUUUCAACCCAGUUCUCAGUUACUUAAUUGCACAAGUUAUUGGCUUAAUUAAUCAAGAUUAACAGGUGUUCCAAAUCUUUAGCCACAGAUGAUGUAAAAACACCUAUAAAACCUGCAGGAUAGGGGCUCUCCAGGACCAGGUGAAAAACCCAUCUGAAAAACCCAUCUGAAAGGGGUCACUUUCUCAAGAACUUUUCACAUUAUUUGGCCUAUGCAUUCACUUGUGUGUUUUGGUUUUUUUAAAAUACAAAUGCACGUAAGCAUUGCAGUGGUGCAGGAGAGUGACCCUGUUAUUAUAGGUUACCUAUUUACCAUGGUAUCUCUCCCCUGGGUGCGUUGUGUUUUGGUGAGCAGUAAUGCAGGAAAGCAGCGGGCGGGAUGGCGAGCUUGUCCUGCUGCUCCAACACAAGCUACCUUAAGAGCUGGUACGAUGCGGGCAAUGGGUGAAGUUCGUCAGGAGUACUGCAUAAAAAAACGAGUGUGUUAUCGUGGCAGUUGGUGAUCAAAGAAAUAAAACAAAAUAAAAUCAAUAAAUAAUAAUGUCAUACCUUUGAAGUCAUAAUGCAUUGCAAGUGUUAUUAGGGAAUGUUGUGCUGUGUUUUCAAGCUCUUCAAUGUGCUGCUCUGCAAGGUUUGGAGACAGCGGGUGCGUUCACGGAGAUCAAGAGCAGCCGGAGAUCAAGAGCAGCCGCCGCAGGGGCGGGAUACCAUGCUGCUUUCCUGAGCAGUAAUGCAGGAAAGCAGCGGGCGGGAUGGCGAGCUUGUCCUGCUGCUCCAACACAAGCUACCUUAAGAGCCGGUACGAUGCGGUCAAAGGGUGAAGUUCGUCAGGAGUACUGCAUAAAAAAACGAGUGUGUUGUCGUGGCAGUUGGUGAUCAAAGAAAUAAAACAAAAUAAAAUCAAUAACUAAUAAUGUCAUAGACUUAAAGUCAUACCUUUGAAGUCAUAAUGCAUUGCAAGUGUUAUUAGGGAAUGUUGUGCUGUGUUUUCAAGCGCUUCAAUGUGACAGCGGGUGCGUUCACGGAGAUCAACAGCAGCUGGAGAUCAAGAGCAGCCGCCGCAGGGGAGGGAUACCAUGGUAAAUAGGUUACCAUGGUAUCUCUCCCCUGGGUGCGUUGUGUUUUGGUGAGCAGUAAUGCAAGAAAGCAGCGGGCGGGAUGGCGAGCUUGUGUCACCAGUCGUCAAAGCACGAGACUGCUUAAUCUAAUAUGUUAUUUAUAGUAAACUUUUGGUUUACUAGUAGCCAACUACGCCACCUGGUGAUGGUCAGGCACCAGGACCUGGAUUUUAAACAAGUGAACACAGGUUUGUUUGUAAAUGUAACUAGUUGGGAACCACCACAAAACGCUAACCACACCAAGAGGCAGACACAAAUUACACGGUAUAAAAUGGUUUAUUAAAACACAAUAAACCAAUAAGUAAAAAUCACAAAAUAAAAACCCAAAACAUAACACCCACAUCAAUAGCUAGGGCGUAAAGUAACAAAAUAAAAAACCCCACUACAGUGACUAGGGAGCAAAGUAACAAAAUAAUAUUAAUAAAGCUCUCCAGUAAUAACUAAAUAGCUAUCGCUUCAAUUUGCUCAAUCUCCACUCGAGUCUUCAGGGGCAGGUAAACAGCGUCUUCCCAGCUCCACAAAAUCCCUGUCUUCCGUACCACAACCAGGACAGUCCCCCAUUAACAUGUGCCCUCUCCUGGAGAAAAGAGAAGGAAAGAAAACACAGCAGCAAUAAUCUGUUCCAACAGCGCUUAGUUCUCAAUCGCACCUUGCUAGGUAGAGUGAAACAAUGACAAUAUAAAGGAGGUCAAAUAAAACCAAGACAUAUCUAAAAUCCCACAACAAAUAGAAGCACCUCCAAUCAGAAUCAAUACAAAUAGGAAGAAAGGGUACACCAGGGUCCACUGUAACAACUAAAGUUGCUGACAAUUAUAAAAUCAUACCGCAAUUUCCAUCACCCAGCGAUUUGCUUAAUACACCCAGUCAUCUACGUAGCAGCCACAAUCCAAUGCAGCCUCAAACAAUAAUCCCAGUUCCAGUUCCGGUACUCCAGUAUUCCAGUACUUCAAUCAGCAAUCCCAAGGUGCACCAGAAUUCUCCUCCCCAGUUCUCAUCCUCUGUAUCGUGACAUCUGUCUCCUGGUGCGUCUCCUUCUGUAUCCUGGUGUGUCUGUCUGUUCUAUUCAUGCUGUGCUGCUUAUAAACCCAGUUGGCCACUCCUAUUCCUGCUCAAAACCAAUCAGACACCCAAUAUCUAAUUGGCACUAGCACUAGCCCAAAAACUACAUUUCCCAAAAUCUAACAGGAAAUGUCUAUAUAAAGGCGUGGGUUGAUGACGUCACACUCCUGCUUCUCCUCAGUCACAGUGCUCCGUGUAAUACAAACAAAAAACGAGGGAGCCGGGAGUCUAGCUGUGGGAGUCCAGCAAGGGGAGGCCUGCGCUAAGACACUGGUCGAAUAGAUCCACACCUAACAGCGCUCUGGAAGAAGCCAUCUACUAGUCAGGUCUGUAGCCUCCACCCCACUGCUCCUACUGUGCCUUUUGUCUUGCUUGUCCUGCUAUGACUGUCUCUCACAUCCCUGUUCUGUCCUCCCGUCCUCGUCCUCUGCCCUCCCUCCGCUGUUGCUCCUUCAACCCCUCUAACCUCAUUUCUCUGCCUCUCCCCCCCUCCCGCACACUCUCUGGUGCACUCUGGAACUGUCACUCUUCUGCUAACAAAGCUGAUUUCAUCUCUGCCUUUGCCUCCCACCUCUCGCUCGAUUUCCUUGCUCUCACUGAAACCUGGCUGUCCCCUGAUAACACUGUUACUCCUGCUGCCCUGUCCUCUCUCUACGUCCUGUCCCAUACCCCGCGUCUCACCGGACGGGGAGGUGGGAUGGGUCUUCUCCUCUCUCCCUCCUUACUCUUUUCUGUCGCCUCCGAUCUCACCUCCCUCUCUGUCACUACCUUUGAAUUUCAUGCAGUCCAACUGACCUCUCCCUGUCAACUCCUGCUCAUUGUUCUGUACCGCCCCCCUGGGCCUCUCACUCACUUUCUCGAUGAACUCGACUAUCUACUCUCCUCCCUCCCCUCUCUGUCUACCCCGACUGUCCUGUUGGGUGACUUCAACAUCCAUCUCUCCAACCCCAGCCACUCUGCUGGAUUCCUCCCUCUCCUUCACUCCUUCGACUUCUGUCUCUCUCCGUCCCCUCCUACCCACAAAGCUGGCCGUCAACUGGACCUCACCUUCUCCAGGGCCUGCUGCCCCUCCAACCUCUCUGUCACCCCCCUGGACCUCUCUGAUCACUAUUUCAUCUCUUUUUCUCUGUCUCUCCCCCCUCUCCCUGCUCCUCCUACCCCCACUGUCACCUCUCGCCGUAACCUCCGCUCUCUCUCCCCCUCUGUCCUUGCCUCCACUGCUCUCUCUCACCUCCCUCCUAUCGACUCCUUUUCACAACUCUCCGUAGACGCUGCUACCUCCACCCUCUUCUCCUCACUCACCUCCUCCCUCGACUCCCUCUGUCCCCUCACCUCUCGACCUGCUCGCCCCUCCCCUCCCCAUCCCUGGCUCUCCUCUGUGCUCCGCUCGGCAAGAAUCACACUGCGAUCUGCUGAAAAGAAAUGGAAGAGAACCAAACUCCCUGCUGCCAUAGACCUUUACCGCACUCUCCUCUCCUCCUUCUCCUCUACUCUCUCCUCUGCUAAAUGUGCUUAUUUCCAAUCUGUAAUCCAAGCCUCCACUAACAACCCACGUAAACUAUUCUCUACCUUCUCCUCCCUCCUAAACCCUCCCCCCUCCUCUUCCCUCCUCUAUCUCCCCUGACGACUUUGCCUCCUUCUUCUCUUCUAAAAUCUCAGAUAUCCGCAAACUCUUUAACACCUCUCCCUCCCCCGCACCCCCUCCUGCUCCAACCCCUACACCCACUACAUCCCCUACUAACUCACCCUCCCUCUCCACCUUCUUGCCCCUCUCAGACUCUGACCUCUCCUCCCUGCUCCAGGGUCACAAACCCACCACGUGUGCCUUGGACCCCCUCCCCACUCACCUCUUUCAAGCUGCUGCUCCUGCUCUACUCCCCUUCAUCUCCUCCCUCCUCAACACCUCUCUACUUUCUGGCAUCUUCCCCUCUGCCUUCAAAAAAGCCUCUAUCACUCCCCUCCUCAAAACAUCUACCCUCGACCCCACCUCCCUCCAGAGCUACCGUCCUGUCUCCCUCCUACCCUUCCUCUCCAAAACCCUCGAGCGGACUGUACACCGCCAGCUCUCUGCUUUCCUGUCCAACCACUCUCUGCUUGACCCUCUCCAAUCUGGCUUCCGCUCUGCUCACUCCGCUGAAACCGCCCUCCUGUCUGUCACCAACUCACUUAAUUCUCCUCGACCUCUCUGCUGCCUUUGACACUGUUGAUCACUCUAUUCUACUAUCAUCUCUUGCUGACCUGGGGAUCUCUGGCACUGCUCUGGCCUGGUUCUCCUCCUACCUCUCCAACCGCACUUACCAGCGCUUCAAUGUGCUGCUCUGCAAGGUUUGGAGACAGCGGGUGCGUUCACGGAGAUCAAGAGCAGCCGGAGAUCAAGAGCAGCCACCGCAGGGGAGGGAUACCAUGGUAAAUAGGUUACCAGGUAUCUCUCCCCUGGGUGCGUUGUGUUUUGGUGAGCAGUAAUGCAGGAAAGCAGCGGGCGGGAUGGCGAGCUUGUCCUGCUGCUCCAACACAAGCUACCUUAAGAGCCGGUACGAUGCGGGCAAUGGGUGAAGUUCGUCAGGAGUACUGCAUAAAAAAACGAGUGUGUUGUCGUGGCAGUUGGUGAUCAAAGAAAUAAAACAAAAUAAAAUAAAUAAAUAAUAAUGUCAUAGACUUAAAGUCAUACCUUUGAAGUCAUAAUGCAUUGCAAGUGAUAUUAGGGAAUGUUGUGCUGUGUUUUCAAGCGCUUCAAUGUGCUGCUCUGCAAGGUUUGGAGACAGCGGGUGCGUUCACGGAGAUCAAGAGCAGCCGGCGCAAAACACAAGGCACCCAGGGGAGAGAUACCAUGGUAAAUAGGUUACCUAUUUACCUAUUUUUGUUUCGGAGAACGGUUUUGGUGAGCAUUAAUGCAGGAAAGCAGCGGGCGGGAUGGCGAGCUUAUCCUGCUGCUCCAACACAAGCUACCUUAAGAGCCGGUACGAUGCGGGCAAUGGGUGAAGUUUGUCAGGAGUACUGCAUAAAAAAAUGAGUGUGUUGUCGUGGCACUUGGUGAUCAAAGAAAUAAAACAAAAUAAAAUCAAUAAAUAAUAAUGUCAUAGACUUAAAGUCAUACCUUUGAAGUCAUAAUGCAUUGCAAGUGUUAUUAGGGAAUGUUGUGCUGUGUUUUCAAGCGCUUCAAUGUGACAGCGGGUACGUUCACGGAGAUCAAGAGCAGCCGGAGAUCAAGAGCAGCCGCCGCAGGGGAGGGAUACCAUGGUAAAUAGGUUACCUUGGUAUCUCUCCCCUGGGUGCGUUGUGUUUUGGUGAGCAGUAAUACAGGAAAGCAGCGGGCGGGAUGGCGAGCUUGUCCUGCUGCUCCAACACAAGCUACCUUAAGAGCCAGUACGAUGCGGUCAAUGGGUGAAGUUCGUCAGGAGUACUGCAUAAAAAAACGAGUGUGUUGUCGUGGCAGUUGGUGAUCAAAGAAAUAAAACAAAAUAAAAUAAAUAAAUAAUAAUGUCAUAGACUUAAAGUCAUACCUUUGAAGUCAUAAUGCAUUGCAAGUGUUAUUAGGGAAUGUUGUGCUGUGUUUUCAAGCGCUUCAAUGUGCUGCUCUGCAAGGUUUGGAGACAGCGAGUGCGCUCACGGAGAUCAAGAGCAGCCGGCGCAAAACACAACGCACCCAGGGGAGAGAUACCAUGGUAAAUAGGUUACCUAUUUACCUAUUUUUGUUUCGGCGAACGGUUUUGGUGAGCACUAAUGCAGGAAAGCAGCGGGCGGGAUGGCGAGCUUGUCCUGCUGCUCCAACACAAGCUACCUUAAGAGCCGGUACGAUGCGGUCAAUGGGU